CAAUGCGGAGGAAAAGAAACUAACAAGGAUUCCCCUAGUAGCGGCGAGCGAAGCGGGAAGAGCUCAAAUUUAUAAUCUGGCACCUUCGGUGUCCGAGUUGUAAUCUCUAGAAAUGUUUUCCGCGUUGGACCGCACACAAGUCUGUUGGAAUACAGCGGCAUAGUGGUGAGACCCCCGUAUAUGGUGCGGACGCCCAGCGCUUUGUGAUACAUUUUCGAAGAGUCGAGUUGUUUGGGAAUGCAGCUCAAAUUGGGUGGUAAAUUCCAUCUAAAGCUAAAUAUUGGCGAGAGACCGAUAGCGAACAAGUACCGUGAGGGAAAGAUGAAAAGCACUUUGGAAAGAGAGUUAACAGUACGUGAAAUUGUUGGAAGGGAAACGCUUGAAGUCAGACUUGCUUGCCGAGCAAUCGGUUUGCAGGCCAGCAUCAGUUUUCCGGGAUGGAUAAUGGUAGAGAGAAGGUAGCAGUUUCGGCUGUGUUAUAGCUCUCUGCUGGAUACAUCUUGGGGGACUGAGGAACGCAGUGUGCCUUUGGCGGGGGUUUCGACCUCUUCACACUUAGGAUGCUGGUGGAAUGGCUUUAAACGACCCGUCUUAA
rnacentral:rRNA from 1 species